rnacentral:tRNA from 1 species
GGUGGCUCAAAGGUAGAGCGCUUGCUUUGCAUGCCUGAAGCCCUGGGUUCGAUUCCCCAGCACCA